GCCAAAUUCUCAUUUGUGCGCAAUUGAUGGUUGAGGAAAGUAGAGUUGACAGUUGACGGCAGUUGAUGGAUUAUUACAUCUAACAUCACGUUCGGAGAGAAGUUGGGAGAGCGGUUUAUGAGAGAAGUCAAAUCCACAAUUUGACUUAAAUCCAUCAUCUUACUCCAACAUCUUGUAUUUCAAGUCUGGACGUCUUCAUUGAAUUCGUCAUCUCUAUAUGUUAUAGAACGUUAAUAAACUUAAUAUUUAAAGUUCGCUGUCUUACUAUUAAUGUUUACACAAAAUAGAACCCAAAUCCCCAAGAAGU